GCCUACGGGAGGCAGCAGUGGGGAAUAUUGGACAAUGGGCGAAAGCCUGAUCCAGCAAUGCCGCGUGAGUGAUGAAGGCCUUAGGGUUGUAAAGCUCUUUUACCAGGGAUGAUAAUGACAGUACCUGGAGAAUAAGCUCCGGCUAACUCCGUGCCAGCAGCCGCGGUAAU
rnacentral:rRNA from 1 species